rnacentral:rRNA from 1 species
GAUCAUGGCUCAGGAUGAACGCUAGCGACAGGCCUAACACAUGCAAGUCGAGGGGCAGCACAAGGAGUAAUCUGGGGUGGCGACCGGCGCACGGGUGAGUAACACGUAUGCAACCUGGCUGUAAGAGGGGAAUAACCCGGAGAAAUCCGGACUAAUACCGCAUAAUACUUAGAAUCCGCAUGGAUUUUAAGUUAAACAUUUAUGGCUUACAGAUGGGCAUGCGUAUGAUUAGCUGGUUGGAGAGGUAACGGCUCCCCAAGGCAACGAUCAUUAGGGGUUCUGAGAGGAAGGUCCCCCACACUGGUACUGAGACACGGACCAGACUCCUACGGGAGGCAGCAGUGAGGAAUAUUGGUCAAUGGACGCAAGUCUGAACCAGACCCAAGUCGCGUGAAGGAAGAAUGUCCUAUGGAUUGUAAACUUCUUUUGAAGGGGAAUAAAGUACGGUACGUGUACCGUUUUGUAUGUACCCUUCGAAUAAGGAUCGGCUAACUCCGUGCCAGCAGCUGC